rnacentral:lncRNA from 1 species
UCAAGCUCUCCAUGUAAAAAAGCGGCUUUUACAUCGAGUUGUUCAAGUUCCCAGUCAAAGAGCGCAACCAAUGCGAGCACGACCCUAAUAGUAGUGUACUUGACAACUGGUGAGAAAAUUUCGUUAUAAUCAACACCUUCUUUCUGUGUGUAACCCUUCGCUACUAACCUAGCCUUAAAUCUUAAGGGUUCUGUACUACUAGUACCUUCCUUAACCUUAAAGACCCACUUGCAAUCAACGAUUGAUUUAUUCUUAGGUCUCGGUACUAACUCCCAAGUUUGAUUCUUUUCUAGAGAACUCAUCUCUUCUUUCAUAGCCUUAAGCCACUCCUUAGAUUGACCACUAUUCAUAGCCUCUUCAAAAGUUUUCGGCUCCCUAUCAACUAGUUCUUCGUAACUAGCGUAUGCAAAAUCCAAUUCAGAUUCAUACCCGAACCUCCUAGGUUCUCUCGUUUGUCUUCUCUCUCUAUCUCUAACUAAAUUAUAGUUGGCUAAUGGAUUUUCUUCCUCAGGAUGCUCUUCUAUCACUACUUCAUUUUCCUCUUCAAGUUCUUGGACCUGAAUCUCCACCUCACUCGAAGUACUAGGUACUGAUGUGUUAAAUUUUCCUAACUCCACCUUGAACCGAUUUCUUUCUUCACCUGAUUCAGUUUCACUUACAGGUUCGGUUUCGUUCCUCAGACAAGGCAUCUCACUCUCAUUAAAUGUGAAAUCCCUACUCACGAUGAUCUUAACUCCUUUUUGGCUUCUAUCCCAUAGCCUAUAGCCCUUAACCCCUUCGGGAUAUCCUAGAAAGACACACUUCCUGGCUCUAAGUUCUAACUUUCCCUCACUUUGAUGAGAGAACGCAGCACAGCCAAACGCUUUAAGCAUUGAGUCACCCAAUUUUCCAGACCAUUUCUCAUGUGGAGUAUCACCAUUUAAUGCAGCCGAUGGAGUCAAAUUUAUUAAAUAACAGGCAAUUACAACGGCUUCACCCCAAAAUGACUUAGGAACCCCAGAACUUAACAUCAUGCAGCGCACUUUGUCUAGUAUGGUCCUAUUCAUUCUUUCUGCUACCCCAUUUUGUUGGGGAGUAUAAGGAACCGUUUUGUGCCUUGUUAUUCCACUUUCUUUACACAUCCUAUCGAAUUCAGCAUUACAGAAUUCUAGGCCGUUAUCUGUCCUUAAAAAUUUGAUCCUCUUGCUAGUUUGGUUUUCCAUUUGUUUCUUCCAGUUGUUAAAGUUAUGGAAGGUUUCAGUUUUGUCUUUCAAUAGAUAGACCCACACUUUCCUGGUGUAGUCAUCUAUGAUAGAUAGGAAAUACCUAUUCCCACUCGAUGUGGGAUUACUAGCAGGACCCCAUAGAUCAGAAUGCACAUAUUCAAGCAUGCUUUUAACCUUAUGCGUACUAGUGGAGAAUGACACUCUAUGGUGCUUUCCAAGCACACAGUGACCACAGAACGAUAGGUCAGACACACGGUCAUUACCAAAUGCACCUUUUUCAUUAAGUAGCUUAAGUCCUUUAAUGCUUACGUGUGCAAGCCUACUAUACCACGUAUGUGUGUGAUCGAUUUUGGCGGAAAAAAUAGAGGAGUUUAAUCCUCUAAUCACUUCCCCAGUAGUGAUGUAAAUGUCGUUUUUCUUGAUUCCCUUAAUAGAGAUUAGCGCACCUUUCAUCAUUUUAAACAUACCGUUUUCAAUUUUACCGGUGAAGUUGUCUUUCUCAAGUCUUCCUACUGAAAUUAAAUUCCUAGAUAAUUCAGGAAUGUAUCUAACUUCCUUUAACAUGUACACAAAGCCUGUGUUAAAUUUUAUCUUUAUAUCUCCAAUUCCAGCAAUUGUAUAGGCAAAGUUAUCACACAGAACUACUUGCCCAUCAUUAGAUUCUUGCAAGUUUUCAAACCAGUUCUUUUCAGACGUCACAUGAAAAGACGCACCAGAAUCUAAUAUCCAUUCAUGCAUGUGAGAAUUAGUAGUUAGAUUUAAUUCAGUAGUGUAUGCGACUGGACUAGUGAUCACAUAGAUUUCACCGUUUUCGGUAUCGGAGGUAGAGGAUAACACAUUUACCUCAUCUCUUUCCUUAACCUUUUGUUUUCCCUUUUCUUUAUGACAGUCUUUUAUAAAAUGCCCUGUGCCUCCACAGCCAUAGCAUUUUCUAGCCUUAAUUCUAGACUUUGACCUAGGUCUACUAUUCCCCUUCUUUUUCCAACAAUUACUACUUGAUUCGCCACUACCUUGGUAUCCAUCAUGACUGGCUUGCCUAAAUUGAGUUCUACCCCGCAUCAUAUGCAACUCUCCACUCCUCCUAUCCUGUUUUUUAGCCCUUAUUUUCAUCUCCUUACUCCUAAGAGAAUCUACGACAAUUUCAGGUGUUAACGUGUCCCUACCAUACUUAAUGGCAUUUUUAACUUCUUUAUAAGAGUCCGGGAUUGAAUUGAGCAAGAUAAUGGCCUUAUAGGUUUCAGACACGGCUUCGUCACAAUUGACAAUAUCUUGCACCAAUUUGUUAAAUACAUCUAAAUUAUUGUCGAGAUCCUUUGAAGGAUCCAUUUUAAAGCUGAAGAAUCGUUCGAGUAGGUAGAGUUUAUUCGGUGUAAAUUUAAGCAAGUAUAAGUCUUCUAGUCUUUUCCAAAGUUCUUUGGUGGUUUUUAGUUUUCCCACUUUUCUAAAGACGGCGUCAGACAAGUUUAAUAUUAUUGAGGUAUAGGCAAGCUUAUCGGCUUCCUCUUUUUGUUCUUUUGAGAUGUCAGGUGCAAAAUUGCCUUCGAUGGCUUUUGACACCUUUUGUUGGACUAAUAUGCAUCUCAUCUUUUAUUGCCAGAUAGAGAAGUCCCCUUUACCAUUAAAUAUUCCCAAAUCAA